rnacentral:rRNA from 1 species
UACGUAGGUGGAGAGCGUUGUCCGGAUUUACUGGGCGUAAAGAGCGCGCAGGCGGUCGUUCAAGUCGCGUGUGAAAGCCCCCGGCUCAACUGGGGAGGGUCACGCGAUACUGAUCGACUCGAAGGCAGGAGAGGGUAGUGGAAUUCCCGGUGUAGUGGUGAAAUGCGUAGAUAUCGGGAGGAACACCAGUGGCGAAGGCGACUACCUGGCCUGUUCUUGACGCUGAGGCGCGAAAGCUAGGGGAGCAAACGGG